rnacentral:ncRNA from 1 species
GAUAGGUCUCUGUCGCUAGCGUGAUUGGACACUGACACAGAGUCAACUAGCCUUGUUCGCGCGGUUCUUGGCGCGCAGAACCGAAGACGGUCCGAGCCACGAGGGGGGAGGCUCGGACCGUCGUGC